UACGGGGGAGCAAGCGUUGUUCGGAUUUACUGGGCGUAAAGGGCGCGUAGGCGGCGUGACAAGUCACUUGUGAAAUCUCCGGGCUUAACUCGGAGCGGCCAAGUGAUACUGUCGUGCUAGAGUGCGGAAGGGGCUACUGGAAUUCUCGGUGUAGCGGUGAAAUGCGUAGAUAUCGAGAGGAACACCUGCGGCGAAGGCGGGUUGCUGGGACGGUACUGACGCUGAGACGCGAAAGCGUGGGGAGCGAACAGG
rnacentral:rRNA from 1 species